CCAAAAUCCAUAAAUUAAAAAUUUCGACUCCGCCACAGUGACUUCAAAUUUCCAUUAGCUGCUUUAAGGUGUGGUAUGGCAAACUUUGGAAACCAAAAUCCAAGAGACUAUAGCCUUCUGAUAUGGGAACGGAGUUGCCCUAUUCAAAUAUUGGAUGUAAACUUGGUCAAAGAUACAUUAAAAAUCUCACAAACUUCCAAUUCUUGUCUACAGCCGCCAUUGUUAACACUAGUCAAACAGAAUAAAAUAAGAUUUUUAUACAAAUUUCAGAAAUGUAUUUGCUACUUUCCAGAAUUAAAAAUCACGGCAUCAUCUAUGGAAGCUACUAGUUUCUUCCUACUUUUUCUGCUGGCUUUCUGCUCUUGUAUACACAAUAUUUUUUCUACUACAACAGAUUUAAUCAGUACAAAUCAAUUCAUCAUAGAUGGUGAAACUAUUAUUUCAUCCGGUGGAACCUUUGAGCUGGGAUUUUUCACCCCCAGCGGUUCCAUAAAUCGAUAUAUUGGGAUAUGGUACAAGCAAAUUCUUCCUCAUGUCCAAACAGUUGUAUGGGUUGCCAAUAGAGAAAACCCGCUCAACAAUACUUCUUCAGUUGUUUUGAAGGUUAGCAGGCCAGGAAUACUUUCUCUUCUAAAUGACAAGAAUGAAACUAUAUGGUCCACUAACACCUCAAGAUCAGUCCAAAAUCCAGUUGCAGUGCUUUUAGAUUCUGGUAAUCUUGUUGUAAAAGAAGCAAAUGAUAACAGCCCAGAAGAUUUCCUCUGGCAGAGCUUCCAUUUUCCAACUGAUACGCACUUGCCUGAUAUGAAGCUUGGCAAGAAUUUUAAAACUGGCCAUGAGAUUUACCUUUCAUCAUGGAAGAACGAUAAUGAUCCAGCUCCAGGAGAAUUCACUCGUAACAUUGAUCCUACUGGAUAUCCACAAGCCCUAACCAAGAGUGGUACAAAUGUAACGACUCGUAUAGGACCAUGGAAUGGUUUACGAUGGAAUGGAGCACCCAUACCACUACUAGAAUGCUGCUUUUAUCAAUUUAUUUUCAAUGAGGAGGAGGUUUACUAUAGCUUUUCACUCAUUAACAGCUUGGACUUAACAAGACUAGUCCUGAGUAGCAAUGGUUAUUUACAACAUUUGAAGUGGGUGGAAUGGACAAAGAGAUGGCAUACUUACUACAAUUUACCAGCGGAUUAUUGUGAUACACAUAGCCUAUGUGGUGCCUAUGGGAGAUGUGGCGUAGAUAGUUCCCCUGUUUGUGGAUGUUUGGAGAAGUUUGUACCUAAAUAUCCACAACAAUGGGAAAAGGGAGAUUGGACAAAAGGGUGUGUUCGGAGGACACACUUAGAUUGCAACAGGGAACAUGUAUUUAUAAAAUAUCCUGGAAUCAAGUUGCCAGAUACUAAGCACUCUCAGUACGAUAAAACCAUGACACUCGAAGGGUGUAGACAAGUAUGCUCCACGAACUGCUCCUGCACAGCUUAUUCAAGUUUAGAUAUAAGUAAUGGAGACAAAGGUUGCUUAUUAUGGUUUGGGGAAUUGGUUGACAUCAGAAAGCUAUCGGAAGGUGGACAAGACAUUUUCAUCAAGAUGGAUUCUUCAGAGCAAGGUAAGAACUUUUUAAAGAAAUUUCCCAUGAACUGUUUCUUAACUUAGUUUGUUUUCAACACAUGGAGAUGGUAUUAUGCAAAGUUAGUGGCCUGUCUUGGUUUGCAGUGGCUGACUUAAAAAAUUAAUCGUAGAAUCUGAGGCAGGUUCAAAAACAAAGAAGGCAAAGAUACUCGCAGUGAUUUUCUCAUUGUUGAUGGCAAUGAUUCUGCUAAUCCUGAUUUUGUUGUGGUACAAACGGAAAAAUAAAAAACUGAAACUCAAAGAAGAUUUUGAGCUUCCACUGUUCCAAUUCUUGACAAUAACAAGAGCAACAAAUAACUUUUCGGUCAACAACAAGAUUGGAGAGGGUGGAUUUGGACCUGUUUACAAGGUAUACAGUGCAAAUUUGUUGAAACAGUAACUAGUUUAUGCUCAAGAUCAGAGUGAUAGAGAUAAUUUUCAUCCUGCAAUAUUCUCAUCUUUGUAAGAUCUAUAUUCUGCUAUUAUACAUUUGCCAUUUCCAGGGAGUGUUGGAAGAUGGACAAGAAAUUGCCGUGAAGAGACUGUCAAGGACUUCCAUGCAAGGAAUUGAUGAAUACAAGAACGAAGUUAUCUAUAUUGCCAAGCUUCAGCAUAGAAAUCUUGUGAGACUUCUGGGUUGCUGCAUCCAAGGGGAAGAAAAGAUGUUGAUCUAUGAAUACAUGCCUAACAACAGUCUAGAUUCCUACAUUUUUGGUUUGGAUUUCUAACCUAUUACACAAGCUAAAAUGAGUAAUAAUUUGAUCUCUUAGUCAUAAUAUGAAAAAAUCUGCUCACAAGAAAGCUUCUUUUGCAGACCAAACAAAGAACAAAUUACUUGACUGGCCAAAGAUUUUCCACAUCAUCAACGGAAUUGCUCGUGGCUUAUUGUAUCUCCAUCAAGACUCUAGACUACGGAUUAUCCAUAGAGACCUUAAAGCAAGCAAUGUUUUGCUAGAUAUAGAGAUGAAUCCAAAGAUAUCAGACUUUGGCUUGGCCAGAAGUGUUACAGGAAAUGAAGUGGGAGCAAAAACACGCCAUGUGGUUGGGACAUAGUAAGAAUCUCUAAUAUCAUACAAUGUACUCUUAUAUGACAUCUUGCUUCUUUAAUUCUCAUGGUGGUGUUUUAUUGGCACAGUGGUUACAUGUCCCCUGAAUAUGCAGUAGAUGGGAAGUUCUCAGUAAAAUCAGAUGUGUUUAGCUUUGGCGUAUUGGUGUUAGAGAUUGUGAGUGGCAAGAAAAAUAGAGGAUUUGUUCAUCAAGAUCACAACCUUAACCUUCUCGGUCAUGUAAGCACUGUUUAACCUGUAUUACACAGAACUCAUUUGUUUUUCUUUACAAAAAUAGAAUUUGUCAUGAUUCAUAAGAUCAAAACUCAAACAGGCAUGGAAGCUUUACAAAGAGGAUAGGUCGUUGGAACUAGCUGCUGAGCAGCUGGCUGACUCUUGCAACACUUCUCAAGUUUUGAGGUCAAUCCAUGUGGGUUUGUUAUGCGUGCAACAACAUCCGGAUGAUAGACCAAGCAUGUUUUCUGUGGUUCAUAUGUUGGCUAAUGAUGGUCUACUUCCAAAAGCCAAAGAACCGGGAUUUUUCACAGAACGAAAUGUAUAUGAUGAAGCAAAAUCAGGAUUGCAGACAAGAAGUUCAAAAAACGAAUUCACUAUCACAUUGUUAGAUCCACGGUAGGUAGGGGUGCCAAAAUAACAAUUUUGAUUUGCGUGCACAUGAAUAAGAAAGAUAUACAUUACAACUUUGGUUAUUGUGAAAUACAGUAUUACUUAAAUAAAAUAAACAUCAAGUUCUACUUAUGUUAAUGUAUGGACCUUUUUAUCUAUUUGUAUUUUUCUUUGAAUAUAUACUUUAGAUAUGUCAACAACAAAGAAGGAAGCAGUAACGAAAUGUACCCAACCUAACAUGAGGCCAAAUAGUGGUUUCAUCAAAUCUGCUAAAACGAAGCAAUAUAUUUUGAACAAUUCUAUAAAUGAAUGCAGAAUUAACUCAAAACCAUUGCGCAGGUAAUGUAGAAACACUCCACCAACAAUUUUCCCCAAAUAUCAAAAUUCAAAAUCAUCAAAGUAGCAGAAUAGAACUAUACCAGAAUAAGGAGCCCUAGCGUUACGAGGAAGAGGCGACUGCCGGAGAUGGAGACUGAAUGGGAAGAUUAGCCUCAAAGUAGAGUUUCUUGUAAUUUGGGUCAACUGUCCAGAAAUGGAGCGAAAUAAAGAAAAAAGGGGAAAUGCUAACAAGGAAAAGUGACCGUGUAAGACUUG
rnacentral:lncRNA from 1 species